rnacentral:rRNA from 1 species
UACGUGAGUUGGGUUCAAAACGUCGUGAGACAGUUUGGUCCCUAUCUACCGUGGGUGUUGGAGUAUUGAGGAGAGUUGCCCUUAGUACGAGAGGACCGGGGCGAACACACCUAUGGUGUACCUGUUGUGGCGCCAGCCGCAUUGCAGGGUAGCUAUGUGUGGACGGGAUAACCGCUGAAAGCAUCUAAGCGGGAAGCCUCCUCCAAAACCAGUACUCCCCAUAAAGGCCGUUGUAGACUACGACGUUGAUAGGUCACGUGUGUAAGGGCAGCAAUGCCUUAAGCUAAGUGAUACUAAUUGCCUGAUUGUUUUGCUUUAAUAUUCUCA